rnacentral:misc_RNA from 1 species
GAUGAAGAACGUAGCGAAAUGCGAUACGUAGUGUGAAUUGCAGAAUUCAGUGAAUCAUCGAAUCUUUGAACGCACAUUGCACCUCUCGGUAUUCCGGGAGGUAUGCCUGUUCGAGCGUCAUUUGUACCCUCAAGCUCUGCUUGGUGUUGGGUGUUUGUUCCGCCUCUGUGUGUGAACUCGCCUCAAAACAAUUGGCAGCCGGCGUACUUGUUUCGGAGCGCAGCACAUUUUGCGAUCCAGAUCAAAGUACAGCGGCAUCCAAGAAGCCUUAUUUAACGCUCUUGACCUCGGAUCAGGUAGGGAUACCCGCUGAACUUAAGCAUAUCAAUAAGCGGAGGA